rnacentral:rRNA from 1 species
CAGGCCGCGGUAAUACGUAGGUCCCGAGCGUUGUCCGGAUUUAUUGGGCGUAAAGCGAGCGCAGGUGGUUAGAUAAGUCUGAAGUUAAAGGCUGUGGCUUAACCAUAGUACGCUUUGGAAACUGUUUAACUUGAGUGCAAGAGGGGAGAGUGGAAUUCCAUGUGUAGCGGUGAAAUGCGUAGAUAUAUGGAGGAACACCGGUGGCGAAAGCGGCUCUCUGGCUUGUAACUGACGCUGAGGCUCGAAAGCGUGGGGCGCAAACAGGAUUAGAUACCCCAGUAGUCCCUGUCUCUUAUACACA